CUGAGAGUUUUUUUUGGAUUUAAUAUAAAUGAUCACGCUCAUCAACACUUUUUGUGGUUUAUCCAAGUUAUUUUUUAAUGUUUUGAAAUUUUAUACAUCUAUAUAUUUAUUAAAUGAGACAUUGUUUUGAUUGUGGCGUGUUCAUCCAGUGAUAUAUCAGCCUCUAAACACACAUUCUUAAAGUAGAGGUCAUAUAUCCAUGAACUCUGUGCGUCUUGCUUUGCGCAUGGAUUUUUUCCAAAAGUUUACAUAGUGUGAUAUCCCAGGAGUGAUCUUAGGACAUAACAGGAUGACCAUUAAGACAGAGUAGUUUUCAGUGCUCGAGUUUCAAAGAAAACCCCGCUUCUCUGUCCAUUAGUGAAAGCUCCGCGGGGACCCUUUAACCUCCAUCUCAGAUCGCUGUCGUGCGUCAUUGGGAAGUGGAGAACUUGUCACAGUGGCACCGGGGACCGUGAAGUGGCCCGCUGGACGCAGAUAAGUCCACCUGCUUCCCGUUCAGGGGGCGUCCAGGAUAUGUAAUCUGGAUCAUAACAACUUGUCAGACGCACAAACAGUAGUAGAGCUACAUCCGCUGACUGUAAUGGCGCCGCUAAUGGAACGUGGUUUAAUAUCAUGAAUUGGCGUAUCAAUGGCAAUUCAUUCAGAAGACGCCAGGUUGUUUAACCUUGAAGUAAUCUGCGUCCAUCCCUGUUAAGUGGAUUAUAUUGAUUGAACAUGUCCAUCCACUGCCAAAGCACCAUGUUGGGAUUCAGUGUAGUAGCAAGCUGCUUGUGUUUACAGUGAGCAUGUGCCUGCAGAUCAGUCACAACACAGUGAAGGGCUGACACAGACAGAGCAGGAGGAUGGAUAAAUAUACUGUGGAUAUAGAGGGAGAGAUAAUCAAAUAACAGCAUGUGGAUGAAGAAAAGCAUGUUGGAACUGAUUACAGCUCAGCAGCAUCUCAGUUCUCAUGUCUGUCUUGCUGUAAUUGCUUCCAUUGCCUUUGGCUUUAUUGAGAUGACAAAAUAGCAAAGCAUGAAGAAACAAGCCAGGAAAUACACCCCAUUUUCAGAGGACAUGUAUGUUAUAAAAUCACAAUCAUGUGUGCAAACUGAAUUGACAUUUCUCUCGCACCCAUCACUGCUCCAAUUAGGUAGAUGCACACUGACAUUAAAGCAGCACAGAGCAUAUUUGCACACAUUUACCCAUCAGCCCGCUGCUGUUUUGACACGCAUUGCACUGAUCAAAGACACUUCGUACUCAUUUGCAAACUUGCCGCAAAGAGCCUAUUUUUAAGGAGAUAUGAUACAACAAACAGAAUAAUCUCCUCUUGCUUCCACUGCUCUGAACAUGAUCACAGCAGGAGCUGCAGUGGUGAGAAUCCAUCACUGCUCUCGGAGAUAAAUGCGCUCCCCCCUUUGUGUAUUUGUAAAAUGUGUUUGGCAGGAGUUUUUCUUAAAAUACUGUAAAUCAUAAUUUGUGUCAAGAUACUUUUGGGAGCAUUGUUUUUUUUGCUUCCCACAUCCCCAGAAUGAAAUCGCUUUCUGGAAGUGAUGUGAUUAUUAUCAAAUUUGUUUUUUUUUUUCUCACAUAUUUGCGAUAGAUGCUCUUGUGCUCAUGAGGCACAGAACAGUCAGCCACCAUAGCAGUGAGAAUAAAAACAUCCUGUCUCACCAAAAGCAUGCUUACUGAGAAGUUCCCAAACAAACUGCUGUUUUUUGGGCCAACUCCUGAAUCAAAAUGUUCAUUUAGAUUUAAGAAAAAGAUUGAGGUAAUGGCUUGAUAUGGAGCCUUUGGGCAAACACUGGUUGUAGGUAUCUGUUGUGCUUCUUAUCACUCUUCUGAUUUGGCUUCUAGAAAUAAGCAUCGUGGAAGCAAUAAUGGUUUCAAAUCUAGAUUUUGAUACAGGAAGACUUUGCAAGACAAAUAUUCAAACAGUGAAAUCUGCACAACACACACUGAGUGUUAUGCUGUUAAUGGCCUCAUUAAACCUCUGUGACGUCACUGGUAGAUUUACUGAAGACCAGUUUGGAAGCUCAGUGGCUCCAGUCAUUGGUAUCUUGACUCCUCCUAAUUCCCUGCUAAUCCAAUAAUUAACAAAGAGGUGGAGUGUAAAUGGAAUUGAGAUGAGCCAUCCAAAUAUUUCUGGGCUUCAAACUGUCCUGUGACAGCACUCCACUGUCACUCAAAGUGGCCACAGCUUUAGUUAUGCAUAACUUUAAACCUUAAUACAGCUGAAACAUCUGAGUUAUAGAAAAGCUCCUCCCAUGUACAGUUGAUAUGAGUGAGGAUAUUAGCUAUAGAGAUCAAAACCAUUUUUGUACGAGGUCUUUGUGUACACACAUUUAUUUUCGCUGUACAGCUAAAAACUUUAACGUGGGGUUCGUAUUCGGACUGACCCUUGAGUGGUCAUUCAUAGAGCUGCAAUUUUUUUGUAACUCCGCAUUUGCUUAAUUUUUCAACCCAGGAGGUUGCUUCUUAGGUUCACCUACUUCUCCAGCCUUUAAUGAAACUCUCUUUCUCCACUGACCCUAUUCAGAGAAGUCAAACUGCUAAUUAAUUAAUAGACUUAAAUUAUACAGAAGACAAGAUCUAAAGAUACAGCAACCAAUGAAAUAUUUAAAAGAAAAUGGUGAUGUCUGAACUCUAAGCGGUAAUGUUAAUGUGCCUACCAGACCUCCUUUAUACACUGUAAGUUUGUGAGAAAAUGUCACAGUAAACAGAAAAAAUCUGUUGAUUCCCUAUUGUUCUGUACUAGUCAUUUUCAUGCAUUUUUUAAAAAUGGAAAAAUAAUGUAGUUUCGUUGUGUUUUUUCCUGUGUUUGAGCACAUGGAUUCAAAGCCAGCAAUGUGACUUAACUAAUCAGCAAAAAGAAAAAGCUAAACUAAACCAAAAACAAACUAGAUUUCUCUAAUUUUCCCUUUAUCCUGUCCAAAUACAGAUAGCAGACUAAAAGUCUUUUAACAACACUUUUCAUCCCCUUCUAUUGACUGUACCUGUCUCUUUCUUGUUUCAGUGCUUUACUUUAAUUCCUCUAGUCUAACUUUGUCUUACCUAACCAGAAGCAAGAAAUGCUCCGAGCGUGACGUGUGCCAGCCUGUCCUGACUUACAGGUUUAACAAACACAUGCACUCUCGCAUAUGAACAAAUGACUGCUAGUGACUGCGGCACACUAAGCGCUAACACUGGUUGUUUGGGCUUCAGCUGACUCAGAUUUACAGUGAAACCGCAGCUUCCUGUUUCUGUUUAUUGGGAUCUAACAGUAGCAUCUUUGCCACAGCGUCUCUAAUCUCUCCACAAUAAUAGGUCAGUGUAACAAAGCGCUGCUGUGGUUUUUGACGUGCUGCACUGUUUUGACACACCUCCGAGGACGUCUGGCCUUUGUGCCGGGUUGAUGGGAUUGCCUUGGGGUGUGUUAACUUGACAAUGACACGUUCAUAUGCAAGGACACACCAAUCCCCAACACAGAGGGCUUUAGAAAAGCAUGUGAGGUUGAUGGCGAGGCACUCCCCGUGAUAAAACUGUGCUCGGCUCCAAAUGUAAACAGGGAUUUCAACUUCAUUUAUCAGCCAGAAGGUCGUAUUUGUAUUUUCAGGUUCACCCACGGUUUAAUGGUCCUUGCACACACACACACACACACACACACACACACACACACACGGUCAGAGUUCUUCAGCAUCUUGUGCAAAUGCAAAUACUGCAUAUUUGUGAGAAUGGGUUUGUGUUUGGGUAGUCACUUUCUUACAUGCUCUCUGUUGGCUGGUCGCUCAUGAUCCAAACUAUUUAUCGUUUCGGUAAACAAGUAGGUCUACAAGUUACAACAAAACCUUCAGCAGGUUUAUGGAAUAUAGCAUUACUCACUAGAGUCUACAAAAUGCCAGCAGCUGUUUCUGAGUCAUCUGUUUUGGAGAAAGACGUGAAAUUUAUCAUCGCCAGUCAAUAGUUGAAUGAUUGUAAUUGUAAUGCAGCGCAGCCAUGAUAGUAGAAUUUCUCAGGCCAGGAGAGUUACUCUAGGACAGUUUGUACUUCAGUAUAUCCAGCCUUUGCUAUUUAAAACCCAGGAACUGCUAUCAAUAUGCUUUUGUGCACCAAUUGUAUGAGACUGUCCUCAACAGUUAAAGUGGAUGAAAGAGAAAAGGCAGAUGGAGCAGGUGAAGGACAAGUCACAAAGGUGCUGUUACAUUUGUAAGAUCCAUUAUUUACAGUCGUCUUUGAGAUAUCUUCACUUUUAACUCACUCUCUCUACAAAACUAGAUUGUUCAAUUCUCAGUCUUUUGUCAUAUUUUUCCUGCCAUAUCUGUGAGACUUUCCUCCUAAGUUUGAAACACAGAGCCAAAGUUGAGAAAAUUGCUGUUUGAAAGAAAGGAUUUGUAAUUCUUGCUGAAUAUAUGACAAUUAUAGGAUAACGCUAAAUGCUAAACCCUUUUGUAACACUAGUACGAGAAGAGUUUCAUAGUCAGUGAUGUAGCUCUAUUCCAAGUUAUAUUAUUCAUACUAGGCCGAGUACAUCAGUAGACGCUAAAUCCCUGAGUAUAUACACACUCAAGUAGGUUUAAUUGCUUAUUAUUUCAACUUUUCAACUCAGAGGAAGAAAGCCUUUUUUCUAAAGUUACAUAGACUCACUUUAAAAAGCCACGAUGUAAAACAUCAUAAAGGAAUUUAACCAUCUUUAUAAGUUUACUUAAUGUAAAUAUAUGAGUUUUGCUCAUUUGUACCUAAUUGAACAUAAAUCGUUCCUUUUUUUAGAUUUUAAGACCACUUUCGAAUUUAAAAACAUAAAGUUAUAAGCUGAGCCAUUUUGAUUUAAACUGUUGACCUAAAUAAAUGAACAUCUGAGAGUUUAUUUAAAUGAUUUAAUUAAGUGUAUAAGAAACAAAUGUAGCAUAUAAGCAGGAUCCUUCCCAGGAUGCAAUGUUUGUAGAUAAAGAAAACAGAAAUGGUGGAAACUUGCUGUGUGCCGCUGGUAAAUGAAGUUCUUGUUGUUAUGUCCUUUGUGUUAUUAUAACAGUUCCAUCCAUUACAAAGGUUGGUAUAAAAUUCAGACUCUACACCUCUACAAUCAUAAUUUAUCUCAUUGUAACUGGGAGCAGCCUCACAAAUUGUCUUUGUACUGACUGGUAAAAAUGGCUUCAACAGUUGAGGCUUUAAGUUCUGUAUGAAAAGAACAAGUCUGUCUGUGACAAUGUGAUUUGUUGAUUCAAACUGAUAUCUAAAGUUUACUUAAAGCUGGUUUUACACUCUCACAACUCAUGAGAUGACUUUAAAUUAAUUAGGCAGCCAAACUGCAGUCGUCUCAUAUUUGAAGGCAGCAGGGGGACUCAGGUUUCUAAGCUGAAUGAACUCACAAUGAUUUACAGUGCAGUUGGAGCCAAACCAUAAUAUGAAAGUGAUUCCACAGAGCAGUUCUCUUUGCGACAAGCAAACCAAUCUUCAUUUUUGAAAUUGCUAUGUGCCCCUUUAAGGCGGAAAAGCAAAGAGCAGAGGUCUGUACCUCCUCCACAGUGUGGUUCCUGAUGUCUGUACACUGUAUAUUGUCAUUGGCUCACUUAUUCAUCUGCUAAGGAGCAGAGGUGGAAGCUGCAGUGGGACUGGUUCCACUGACUCAUACCACUGCUGCACACAAAACACACCAGGCUUCAUAGUAAAUAAGUGAAACUCAGGGCUGUCUUUAGAGGGCUGGAUUGUCUGUCCAACAGAAACCUGUGGGCUGUGGGUGAGAUGGAUCGAAGCGUAUGCAUCGGACUCCCUCACCCCCACCCUCAGGCGUUUGUAAUCCCAAGGUGAAGUUGUUGAGUCAGCCGCGUGGUGGGAGUGGAAGAGGUUUGAUGGAUUAAACUCUUAUCCUCACUCACCCACUUCACGUUUCCUCUGGACACCAUCGCCUGAUGAAUUACAAUUGGCCUGGAGGAAGCAGGAGGAGAGGGAAAAGACGGAGAGGAAGAAAGUGUUCAAAACGAGAUUGAUGCUUGGUCUCUGUUUGAACUGACCUUUACAGACUUCUCAGACACAUUAGUUCGGCAUAGUUCAUACAGCUGUGGGGUUUUAGAGCAAGAGUAGGUAAUGCGGUAUCAAAACAGCACUUUGUGACAUUUUCAUAGAAAGAAGUAGGAUUUACCUCAUUUUUAUAAACAAGGAACAAACCUCUCGAACAAAAAAUUAAUGUAAGCUUUUAGAUUUGCAGUUCCAAACAUCUGGUGUCUGCUAUGUCCCUCUAUUAAUGAUACAUUUCAUACUUCAGCUUUACUUGGAGUAGUAGGCAGGGAUAUUAAGAAUAGUCAUAAUAGAUAAAAGAAAGCAUCAUCGCCUGCAGAAAGCCUUCAAGUGAGCUGUUAUCAUACACAACAUGGCCUAAAGUAUGUGGAUUCACAAGAUGUUGGAAGCUGGCUGUGGGGAUUCGUUCCCAACACGGUGUUAAUGAGGUCCGGUGAUGAUGCCUGGCUCAUGGUCAGCAUUCAAAGUCCAUCUCAGAAGGUGCUGGAUGGGGUUGAGGUCAAGUUCUUUGACAGUAAACGUCGAAAAUCACUCCUUAAAAAAGCUUGAGUUUGUGUAUGUAGAUACUUGUGCUGAAACAAGAUAGAUACCGACUGCCACAAAGAUACAGACAGUGUUAUUAUUAUUCCAAAUAUUAUUGUGUGCUGUAGCAAUAAGAGUUCACUUCACUGGUACAAACCAUGAAACAUAAGUCCAGAAUGCAUACCCCUGGCUAUGCAUUUGCUGAUUUUGGCACGACUUCAUGUUCAGGACUGAAUAAAAGAACGGAAAUCUGUCCAGAGAAAAUGUUCACUUGAGUAAGUUACACACAGUUGUGUCAAUCUCAGGGGUUCCCUCCCAUUACACCACUCAACACUCACCCUCUCCCACAACUCGGAGUCCUGCUCCUCCGCUAGCACACCGUUACCUGAACCUGCUAUUCCCAGCCCUCAGCCCAGCCCUUCAUGAAAGACAAGCCUUGUUAAAGACAGAGAAAACUAACCUGGGUUUGUGAAACCUCUCACAAAGAGGAGAAGAGGCUCUUUGUAAUCACUGAGCUCUUUGUGUGUUUGGUCCUGUCCUAAGUGUUUCCUCUAAAACCGGCGCAACAGAGAAUCGGGUUUCCUCCGGUGGUCCCUUUGUUUCUCAGUCAUAAUGAAGAGAGGAAAGGCACAAACACACACCGUCGAGGAAAUAAUGUAAUGAAACCAAUUCCCUGAUUCGGAGUUUUGUGCCAGCUGCUUGAUUUCUCCUGCAGUGUUUCCUCCCCACUCUUAAAGUAGAAGAGGACUUCAUAUCCUCUUUGUAAAUGAUAACAGCAUGCAGGUCUGCAGGGCACACAGGAAAGAAAACACCUCUUAAACAUUGACUGCUAACUGUGCGGGUAUCCCCAUGUUACCCUCAGAUGAGAUGAUGUAUUGUGCUAUCUGAUCGUGGAUGCUUUUCACUCUGUUCCCUUUGCUGUUCACCAAUCUGCAUAUUCACGAGCAACUGCACCAACGAGCCCCGAAGCUCACGAACAGGCGACAUGAAAACACGGUUUGUUCACUCUGCGGAUUGUUUUUAUAGAUAUUCAAUGAAAAUAUUUAGAAUACCAGAGAAUGUUUGCUGAGCAGUUAUGACAAGCGUUCUAUAUACCAAGCGUUCCUCUCUGCAGUGUGAAACACACCCAGAAAGGCCUGGAAAUGCAAAAGUUUUGCAAUGCUUCCCUUGGUAAUGGUAACUAGGGUGAAUGAUUCAGUCUGAUGAGAGUGUUUGUUUGCUGGUCUGUUAGUUAGCAGAGAUUUAGUGAGGUGUGGUGAAAAGCCAGUCGAGGAAGAGGGAAGGUAAGUGUUUAUUGUUUGGUGCAGAACAUACUGUGCAUGAUUUUCAGCCUUGGCAGAACACUGUCAGAGCGUAUUGUUUAACCAGUUCAUAAAAAUAGACCAAAACUUCUGGGUUUUGUUUCAGAAGUACAAAAAAAAAAAAACCCCAUUCAAUGAAAUUUGAUGACUAAAAGUCCAGCCAUGGAACACAAGUUUUUUCGACAAUAUGUAUGCUUUAGAUGAGGGGUGCAGCUUUUUAUUCUUUAUUCAGCAUUUUUUGAAAUCCUUUACCAACCCAAGAGCAAUUCUUUCUUUGAUUUUCCUGAAAAAGUGAAGCAAUUUAUAUGAGAAAUUGACAUCCAAUACAAUAGCUGGCAUGAGAAAUCUGAGCCUUACUGUCCUUUAAACAUUUAUACAUUGUUCUGACAUGCAAAGCAACACUCACUAGAAGGGUAGGACCUUUUAUGAUGUGGAUUAUCUAAGGCUUCAUCAAUCCAUUGAGAUCACUGCAUUCUGACAUUAAGACAUGGCUCACUUUUAAUGUUAGCACACGACAGUUGCUAUACAUGAGAGACUGACAGUACAUUAAGUGACAUAACACAUUAUAGUACACUAAUAAAUUUAAAACUAAAGAAUUUAAAUCUAUCUAUGUACCAAAUAAUUUACCUACAGCUUAUAAACUGUGACUUUGAGGUGAAGAAAAGUACACAUCCUGUCAGGGAUAAUUUACAGUAAGUUAGUGGCUGCUGUUGCUCUGUGUGGAAAUGAGAACAAAUCUCUCACUUUGGUGAUGCUUAUAGGGAUAUUCUACUGCUGUCUGAUGCUGCAGGUAUUUCAUAAAUUAAUGUGACGGCAUGCAGUUUAGACUUGUGCUGCCCUGAAAGUGAUAAGGAAAUGUAGCUACAUCUGUCCUCGUAAGAUUGCCGUUGUGACUUAUGUGGUAAAUUAUUGGAGUUUGGCCUUUUUGCUGUCACUGUCUUUUAAAGCUGGAUGUGAGAAUAAAGAGGACGAUCUGAGAACUCAGGGAUGCUUUGCACUGUCACACUGUAGCAACUUGUCAAGCAAAAGGUAGCCACUCCCUAAGGCAUACCCUGUUUCAUCAUCUCAAUCACUCUAAAUGGGACAGUCAUUUUCAAAAUUAGCAUCAUGCUGUGUUGAAGGCGAUUUGAAACUAGAAUUAAUAACAUGUUCACUUAGGUAACAAAUGCAAUGAGAAGAAAGGUAAUUUUCUCAUAGAUUUCUAUACAACUGCUUUUCUUUUUGCCACCGAGGAGUCGCCCCCUGUUGGCCAACAGAGAGAAUGCAAGUUUAAGGCCCAGAAGCUAUGUCCAUCUUUUAUGUAGUCCACAGUCUAAGAAAAAUUCACAUCCAAUGCAAAGGUUAGAACAUGAAAUUGUUGCCUUAUAAACUUCCAAACCAUUCCGAACUGCAUUUGUGCCAGCUUUUACAUGUAUAGCAGCAUUUACUUGGAGGGCAGGACUGAGUGGACAACCAGUUCCAAGUACAAAAAGAGAACAGAAUGCUUCUUUCAGCUAUAGCAGAAUAAAAAUGACUUCUGCCACACCGUUCUUUCUGCACCAAGAUAGGAAAUGCAUUUGGCAAUGUGAGACUAAAGGCGUUGUAAAGCAUCUCAGCAUGGAGGUUAUGCACUUUAGAACUUGCCCAGACUCUUUGACACUGGAUGAAAUAUUAUACAGGCAGGUCGAAGACUACUUGAUAUUUUUCUGCUUCUUUGGAAGGCUUUUAUACAAUCUUGGGAUGACCGCCAAGUCAAGCAAACCUAAUCACACUCGAGUGGGCUUGGUUUGAUUAUUUUUCAGCAGAUGAAAGUAUUUGCCCUCCUUGGCUUCAGACAGGCCAGCAGACCGGUGCAGUUUGUACCAAGUAGUGUUGGCAGGUGGAAUAAAAUGCAUUAAAGGUUCAGCAAGUUCAUUUUAUUUUGAUAUAUUGGACGUAUUGAUAUACAUUAUGGACUAUUGCCAGCACCAGUACAUCUAACGGUGCUUGUGUGUGUCUGUGUGGACUUGUGCCAAAAGCAACCCUCCUGAGAGAUGACGACCCUGACAAUAACACACACUCAUGCAGACACACGCACAUAACAAUAGAGGAUAACUUUUUACGACCUGUUCUAACUAUUCCUGGUGCUAUAUCUGUUCAUGGACUCACACAUCUGGAGUUUACAUUGACAGAAAUAUGCAUAAACACCCACAUGCAUGCACCCUCUCCAGACAUUUGUGUUUGAUAUGAUGUUGACUUGAGAUGGAAUCUCAUGCGGGAAAGUCUUUCAUUUCUGGUACAACAGUUUCAAGUUAAGGCAUUCAGGCAUCCAAGUGUCAGCACGCUUUGCUCAAUGACUGUAAUUUGGUCUUUUUAAUUACCAGUGAAUAGUUUAAUAGAUCUCCUUCAGAUGUGACACUGUAUUUAUUCACUUUAAUGAGUGAAACAUGGAGUAGAGACCAAAUCUGAAUAAAGAGGUUUAACUGAUGCUUUAUAUGAUCUGUUUUCUUCUUGUUUUGCCAAUCUGAGAGUCCUCCACAAAGGAAUUAACUCCCAGCGUGGGUGUUAUAAAUACAGUGGUGAAAAGUAACUAAGUCUGUUUCCGCAAGUUCUGUCUUUAAGUACAAUUUUGUCAUAUUUGUAGUUGAAAUGUUUCCAUUUAAUGGUACUUCAUUGCAGUAAAUGGAAGAAGAUUUUACACAAUGGAUGAUAAAACAAUCUUAUAAAAUACAACAUGUUAAAGAUUAAACCAGUGGUUUCCAACCUUUUAGGCUUCUUACAAGCCAUAAAAUGUGACAUUUCAGAUGUUUAUAAGUUGUUAACAGCUCAACCAAACAGAUGUUUCUCUCCUAAAUUUCUGACGUUUUAUUUUUUCAAUAAAUGUGAAAACUAUCCAUUAUCUCACACAAAAUUAGAGAAAAAGCUUAUUUGCAACUGCAGAUUUGUGUAUCAGAGUUUUGUUUUUCUUCUUUCCUCUUCCAUUAAUCGUCUUAGAUUUAACUGGUGUCUCUGGAUAUAAAACUGUAUAUGCAGUAGUUCAAACUUCCAGCAGCUACAACAGUAACAUGCUGCUAAGUGUUAACAAUCAAAUGAUGUCAGAUAUAAUAAUAUAUCAGCCGAAGGGAGACAAUUAGUUUAUUUACUUUAAAGAUUUUUCUUUUGGCAUUUUGCCUUUUUUUGAUUUUAAAAAAUGAAACAAAUGGAGAACAUCAUGCAGUGAGGGUUCAUUCAGCAAGGAAUCAAACCAGGGAGUCACUGCUGACAUUUGCACACAUGUUCUGCAACCAAACCACUCAAUUGACACUAUUUUAUUACUUGAGCGACACUUUCUGUUAAUUUAAUAGGUACAUGCUUUUAUGUGAGUAGGAUUGGAAUGUUUUUUGUUUUUUUUAGUUGCUGUGCUGGUACUUUCACCAAAGAUAAUGAUAUGAAUAUUUCUUCCACGACAGUUUUUAGAUGAAAUGUGUACUUUGUAAAUGUACCUCAGACUGGCUCCUUCUCAUUUUCUUCUCCAAGUUCCUGCAAGAGGUAAAUGAAUAAAUAAGUAAAAAUGACAGCAGUAUAAAUGUAUACAUUUCUCUGGACGCCUCAGUAGGCUACAUAUCUCCGACUAAAUAAGCUGUGAAAGCUCUCUCCCUGUCUCUGGAUGCUGGGUGUGGUCAGCACUGACCGGACAGGAUGUUCAGACAUAAACAACUGAGCGACUUAGGCUGGACAAAAAAGCGUGUUGGAGAAGAAGAAUGGACGCACAAACAAGCAAACAAACAGGCAGUUUUAUCUUAUCUUGUCCUUACAGACUGCAAUUAUGAAGAAUACAUUUUCCAUCAUUUUGUUAUCCGCUCCAUCCACACACUCAAAACUCACUUGUCUACUCUACCGUCCUGCUGUUGUUUAUCACUUUAGCUCAGUUACUCAUUUCUGCUUAUUUAUCUAGUUUAUUCCUCAAAAUGACUCAAGUUCUGCGCUCCUAAUGUCUUUACUCAUGUAAUGGCACGCAUCCUCCUCGCCAAUUAGUGCCUGCUAAUGACCGAUUAAAUAGUGAUCAUGUACUUUCCGCCGCAGGGAAAAUUUAGUAAUUGAGGCACUGUACGUAGCCCUAACAGGGCUGCCAUUCCACUAAUAUCCAUUUUGCCUUCAAAAAGGCCCAAUUAACCUCAAUUCCUAAUCAGCUCAGCUUGCGUCAAAGGACGGCGCAGUUGAAAGCAUUCUACUUUUUUGUUAUUCAAAGGAGAUUAGCAAUGCUUAUUUAAAUUCAUGUACUGUAAAUAGACUUGGUUAAGGGCAGAAAUGUGAAAUGAGGUGUCAUGGCCUGGAGGACCUGUGCUCUCCGCUGAGAUUUGAAGCAUGAUGAAUCAUUUCAGCUUGAGCUUUUAAAACAAUUCGGUAGAGGGGGAUGCACAUCACACUACAUUGCUCUGCAAAUCUUCCAUGUACGCUAUGAUCUCUGAAGUAAAUGUGCACAAACAGAGGAGUCUAACUGUGAACGCUGAUAUCUGAGUAGUGAACGUUAUUAGAUGUUAUUUUCCCCUUUUCCUCUAAGUGUAAACAGGAUGGGCUGCAGCUAUGAUGGCUUCCCGACUGUGGUGCUUUGGGCUAACGGCUAAUGUCACCAUCCAAAUGUGAAUAUGAUAAUGUUUAUCAAGUAUAAUACCAUAUUACCAUCUUAGUUUACAGACAUUAACAUUUUCUGAAUAGCACUGAGCAUGACAUAGAGAUGAUUAUGAUGGCAAUAUUUAGCAAAUGUUCCAUCUUCAAGCUAAAAAGUGCUGUAGAAUUUUGAACAAAUAUAGCAGCAAAUGAGCAUCUAUGAUGUAAAGAUAAAAUGGAGUAAUAGUUUACUUUACAAGGAAGGUUUUGUUGGUUCCUUGCUCAUAGGGAAUCCAAAAAACAACUUUGUAUUGUUAGGUUUUCAGUUCUCUGCUUAAAAUAUGUGGCAUGGGAUGACAUAUGUUGUGAAAUGGUGCUAUAUAAAUAAAACUGAAUUGAACUCACACUCACUCUGUGUGUGUUGUAAGCUCAGCUUCUCUGUUGUAUGUCCUGGCAGUCAGUCCGGUUGUGUGUUCAUGUUACUGCAUGUGAAUCCCUCCCUUUGAAACUGAUAGCCCUACCCGCAUUCAUACACAGAACAAAAGCGACCUCUCACACCGCACUUUAAAAGUAAAAGUGUGAUCCAGCAUCUGUGGCUGUUUCCACACAUGGGACUCCCUCAGGUCAUCCAAGUUUGUCUAUGGGUCCAUCACGUUCCAAUGGAUCAUGGAAACAGACACACAUGGAGUGGAGCAGACAAGACUUUAGAUGGUACUCGAAUUGACAAUAGGUCAUUACAGCCAUUCAAUAUAUUUUGCAAUGCUAGUAUAUGCUAAUAGUCGUGGCUGGAUUAUUUCUCAUUGGCUCAGGUGGACAAUCUCACUGUAAAUGAAAGUGAAGGAAUUGAGAAGAUGAUGUGGCCCACGUGCCUGUUUGAUUUGACCUGAGAUGCUGGUGCUCUAGUGACAUUCAAUGUUUGUAAAAAGUUACACACAGAACUGAUCACGUAGUUUUAGGGUAAGUAAAAUGCUGGUCUGGUGAUGCGAAAUGAAAGCUUAAAGAAUCACCAGAGUAAAGGCUGGGUUAUGCUUUCCACACGAACGAGCCGCGUGGAAAUGAGACGCUUGGAAGUCCACUCGAGAGACCGUGUGUGACUUCAUAUUCCUUGUGGCGGCUGCCCCCAAACUACAGGGGGCAGUGUAUCGCAAACAUACGUCUACCUAGUCUACUCUAGUACCAAACUAGAGUAGAAGAAGUUUGCAACAAGGCAUUUUAAAGAAUAGUUGCAUUUCAGCAGUUAGUUUUAAUUUCACACCAUGAAUUGUUCAUAACCCGGUUGUCACGGUGAUCGUAGUGUGAUGAAUUGUAUAAAUGCCUGUAUUUCUGAACUUCUGCUGCUAGGAGCUCCUGUUCUUCCGCCAGCUUUCCACGUGUCUCCAUUCGCGUAAUUAGAAAAACUUGGAGGUGCGCGACGUGGAAAUUUUGCGCUUGAGAAGAUCCGUGUGAGGGGGCGUGGCUGCUAAAAUGACGUAAUUUGUCCGCACGGAGCCGCAUGGACUUCAUGGUCGCGGCAAGAAUAAAACAAGUUUUUCCAAAAAAUUCACCGAUCAUGCCAGUUUAUGAAACAUGCCUAGGAUUCAUCAUAUGGAGACCAUGAACAUUAGAAUUCAACAGUACAACAAUCUAUCCAGAAAUAUUUCAGCCUCAACCAGAGUAAUUACCCUGUUGAAUGACUGACAGUGCCAAAAAAUAAGCUGCUUGCAUGG